GGAGUCUGGGCCGUGUCUCAGUCCCAAUGUGGCCGUUCAACCUCUCAGUCCGGCUACCGAUCGUCGCUUUGGUAGGCCGUUACCCCACCAACUGGCUAAUCGGACGCGAGCCCAUCUUUCAGCGAUAAAUCUUUGGUAUUCCGACCAUGCGAUCAGUAUACUUCAUGCGGUAUUAGUGCUCUUUUCAGAACAUUAUUCCCCACUGAAAGGCAGGUUGCUCACGCGUUACUCACCCGUCCGCCACUAAGUUAAGAAAGCAAGCUCUCUUAACUCCGUUCGACUUGCAUGUGUUAGGCAUGCCGCCAGCGUUGUCCUGAGCCACGGAUCAAACUCU
rnacentral:rRNA from 1 species